rnacentral:lncRNA from 1 species
GCGCCAUCUGGGGAUUGUAGUACCCUCUCCGUCCCGUCGCGGGACUUUUGCCCUCCAGUUCCCGGUUCCCUCAGGCGGCCUCCCCAGUGGGCACAAGCCCAGGCGCCGUGCCCCGCGCUCCCUCCCUCUGCCCUUCACUUCCCAGCUGCCAAGAUCUUGGAAGCUUUGAAGCUCAGAGAAGAAGGAAAAUCCAUUGAGAACAGUCUGUAAAGGGGUGACUCUGGGCUUCAGAGCCCUGAGAAGAAGUCACUCAAUCCAGGAACACAGACAUCUUCACCAGCCCACCGUCAUGGCUGUAAAACCUCCAGAACUCAAGAACUCCUGAAAGUUACGUGGAGAAAGGUUGCGUGGACACUCAUUUUUCUUAAACACCUGUCUCCUCUGCCUAGCAAGGUAAGAAAAAGAUACAUAAAAACUCAUUUAAUUUAUCUAGAUUCUUUAAUAGGUUUAAACAACUUU